ACUAUAGAGCAGGCUUCCCCAAACUCAGGCCCUCCAGAUGUUGCUGAACAACAACCAUGAUUAUAUGAAUGAAAUAGAUAGGCUGAGAAUCAUGGGAGUUGUAGUUCAGCAACAUCUGGAGGGCCGGAGUUUGGGGAAGCCUGUUAUAGAGC